AGACUCCAAGGCUGGCUCCUCUACAGAUGAGGAGGCGUCUGAAGCAGGGGAGAAGGGAGAGCAGUACGAGGAGCUGGCCACCCCACCCCUUCCAGAACGACUCAUGGAGGAAAAGAAAAAGGCAGCUCCCUCCAAAGAUGAGACGUCAUGUGGAGCCCAGGCUAUGGUGGAGGUGAUGGGGCCUGCUGGUCAGGGUGCUGGUACUCUGAGUGUGGAGGCUAAAGCCAAACACCCUGCUGAGGGCAGUCAAGUCAACGACCCCCAUCCAUCUCUACCAGUAACAAGAACAGUGUUGUGGGUCGGAUGAGGAUUUAACAGGUCACCGCCCUCUCAAUGGGUGGUGUUCCUAUCUACCAGCAGCUGAGCAUCAAUGUGAAUGUGAGCCAGGUCGUAGAGCUGGGCCUGAUGAACUGACUGCUACCAGACCAACUGCUGGUGGGCAACCUCUCAGAGAGACCACAGCUGAGUGACUGUCACCGGGGUGUUGUGAUGGACGGGAUGGAGACGCUGUACUGCCGCUCCCCCAGCAGCAUCCUAUAGAUCAUCAAGGCUUCAUCUACAUGGUCAACCUCUCAAUCAACUACUACGUCUUCAAAGCCAAGGAGAGGGCACAGAGAGAGGCAGAGGGUGAGGACAAACUAGUCCAAAGGAGACUGCGCCCCAUAUAAACCUCUCUGUUAUUGGGAGGGGACUAUCCUAGUGGAACAGAGACCCUGAAAAGCAACAUACUUGAAGAGUCUCUUGAAGAGGGUUUGGACUCAAAAGCCCUCCUAUCCCCUCCUCCACUAUGUCCUCUGUCAUACUCUACACUAAGAACAGGCCUGUGUCCAGUGCACAGCAGAUCACUAGUUCCUUCCCCUUCAUGGUGUCCUCAGCCCCAAAGGAAGCUUAAGGCUCGGUCAAGGAAGAGGCGUUGACCUCUACUGAAGGACGGGGGGAAGAAGGCAGACACGGGCAGAGAGAGUCAGAAAGACAAGAGACCCACCAUAGCCAAAAAGGGGUCCAGGAGCCAAUGACUCCCGCUCCCCUCCUCUAAAGGCUGUGACUCGCUUAUUUGACACUGAGCAGUGCCAACAGGAGUCCCAACAGGAGUCCCAACAGGAGUCCCAACAGGAGUCCCAACAGGAGUCCCAACAGGAGUCCCAACAGGAGUGCAAACUACAUAAGAAUACACAAGAAUAAACACUGAUGUGCAUGAAUGUGACUUAAAGGUUUGUGUUGUUUUCUAUAGGCUCACCACAUUCCACUGGAAUGUCCCGCCCUAUGGAGAGGCGACCCUGAAGAUCUGGUUCCACUCCCAAGUCCCUGUCAAGUUUGACAAAACACUGAAUUUUGAGUUGUUGGGUACCAAGAUAUGUUUCAAAAUGUACUGUGGGGGAAUCUAUACAUAUCUAUCCAUCAGCAGAAACACAAAGAUGGUAUUUGCCCACAGGAAGAGAGUCCUUUGCUGAAGCGUUGCAGAAGAGCUACAUCAUCCGCUCUGUCCUCUAUGAGUUUGGCCCACUGCUCUGUGGCAAGACCACAGAUAGGUAUAUAGAGGAAGUAUCCAGAGAACAUGGAAAGGUUGGUGAUACACAACAACACCCCACUGGAUGCUGAGAUUCACUUCUUCUUCCAGCAUGACACCAAGGCUGCCACCUACCAACUGGACCCUCCCAACAUGACCCUUAAACCCAACGAGAGACAAGAAGCCAAUCAGAACUACUCAUGACAUCAUAGAAUGUAGUCUGAGAUGUCGGAUUAGUCAGAACCCUGACUGUGUGACACAAACUUACCUAGAAGUUAUGACUGUUCACUGAUAUUAUCAGUGAACAUUCUCACGCCCAUUUACUUUUGUUCUCGUUUUGAAACUCCAAUGAUCCAUGGUUGUGCCCUGGCAGAUAGAAGACAGUGUGGUGUAUCAAAGAGAACCCAGAGCCAGCAUUUCUGUUGUGGGGUCCAUCCCGAGCUUGAAUGCAAGCAGCUGCAUUUUGAAAAUAAUUCAUUAACAUUACCCAGAACUGCUGUAUCGUUUUUAAACCUGCUUCAGUAACAAAGUAGGAGAUUUGUUUUUGUCAUGGUAGUUUUCUGUUGAUUUUCCUUUCGCCACUCUACUACAUUCUCCCUGUGCUGGUUGUGAACCUCAGGAAGAACACAAGGAGUCUGUACCUGCGUAACAACACGCUGCUGCCUGUAGCCUGGAGGCUAGAGGUGCUGGGGGAUGAGUUCAGUGUUUCCCAGGACCAGGGCAUCAUACUUAGGGAUCCUUGGGGUGUCCCUACCCAAACCCCUAACCCUAAACUUAACCCCUACCCUUAUUCAAACCAUAACCUUAACCAUAACCCUGACCUACCCCUAACCUUAAUUCUUACCUUAACCAUUUUAAAUUUCAACUUCAAAGGGGUAGAGAAGCCCCAAGGAUCCCGGAUAGCAUGGACCCUUGUCUCAAGCCAGAUUGCGCGAUUGCCGUCUGCACUGAUCGGUUGAGGAACGAGCGUUGCGUAGGAGUGACGCCAUCUGACAUGAGACAAUGGCCCAUCAACCUAAAGAGAGCCAUAUGCCUCGAGGUACAUUACUGGAUGAUGAUUGAUUUGUUGUUUGGUAUCGACUGUUGCAUUAUUCCUGUUUACCUCAUAUUGUUGUUGUGUGACAUUCUGUCUGUGUUGCCGUGUGUGUUAUGUGCCUGAUGUGAGGAACAGACAGCCCCCAGGUCUGCUUCUCUACAUAGGUGGUCCACCUCCAUGUAGACUGUACCAAGGAGGUGACCGUGGCCUUCUGCUCAGAGCCGCCCAUAGUACUGACUGCCCAGCCUAUCAAGUGUAAGCUGUGCAGGGUGGUGUUCCAGCAGGAGGUGGACCAGGUGCCAGACUGGGACGACCGCCUCAGGACCAUCAUGUGGGUUGAGUCUGGGAAACAGGCGGGUAGUCAACAGUCUGCAAAGAAGAAGUUCAAGUCACACAGGCUUACUAAAAAGGCUACCUUUUUGUGACUGUAUUUAUUGUUUAUCAUCAUGACCCAUGCAGGGAGGAUAUUUGCUGACUACUCAGACUCCUUGCUCUGGUCAAAUGCUACACCACGCCCACAGACAUCAGUUUCUCCACAAUCAGUCUGGAUCUGAGUACCUCCCCAAUGAUUUCUGGAAUGUAAACACAUUCUAUCUGUUCUGAUUGGUCCCAGAAACCCAUGGGUUGGGUCAGAGCCAGGGUAAAGCAGCGUUUUGAAAAUAUGUCAUUAGCUUUAAUACUCUGAUUGGUUCGAGAUGAUCCAAUUGCUGAUGACUGUUUUCUACAACACCCCUUAUUUUGACGUUACCACAAAUUACUUCAAGGGUGUGGCUGUCUCAGAAUUAAAUAUGUUGCGAACAAACGGCGGAAGAAUUCCUUUUGAGUCGUCAGGCAAGGGAUGAGAGGCCAUUGUAUUUUAAUUACAGUAACUAGUGAAGUAAAUUGAGUGUGCUCUGUCUGUCCCCAUCGGCUCUGUCUGUCCCCAGGCAACUCUCCUCAUCAGGUGGACUUCAAACGGGGGAGAAAUGUGGGCUUCAAAGCUUAAGACUCAGACAGAAAGGCUAAUUAUACACUUAACUCCUCAUAAUGCAAAUUCACAGCUACCUUUUCACUCCUUUGCUUUGUCUGAAGUUUUAUAAUGACAUCCCUUCCCCCUGCAGAAGUGUGUGCUCAAAGACAUGGGCCUCAACAUCAAGAUUAAGAAUGGGCGUUCAGUUGUUCCAUCCUGGACUCAGCUGGCCUGGAUUUCUCCUUCCCCAAAGACACCUUUGUAAUUGGCUUCAUCUACGAUGCAGGGAUGGUGCCAGCUACACAGACACUGAUCAUAAGCAACAACAGAGAGAGGGGCAUCAGAAAUAAAUUAAACCACCUGCGGGCCGCCAGUUGGGGAACCCUGGUGUAGAUUGUCAGUUCUCUAACACCCCGUUUUUGGAGGCGGGGUUCCAGACGGAAGUGCUGCCCCCUGGUGGGUCCAUGGCGGUGCCCAUCACCUUCUACCCAUAGGAGGCAGUGCAAUACCAUGAGCGAGUGGUCUUUGAGAUCAAUGACUGUGUCGAGCAGGUGGUCGAGACCCUAGGUCAAGGAAUUGAGAUGAAGGUUGACUUUGAGGACCCCAGACACAAGGUGGUGAAUCUGGGGGCUCUGCAGAUUGGUCAGAAGAUCAGGAGGGUGAUUCCCCUGGUGAACAACAGCCACUCCUCUCUGACCUCUCCCUUCUGCUCAGCUCCACUGUACACACUCUGCUUGACUCCAGGGUACUGUACGCCUCUCAGAACCACCUCAACAUCACUGUCACUGUGUCCUCUCUCUGAAAGGCAAGCCAUAUGGCUACCUCGACCUGGCAAGUAGUACAGUAGCUACAUUAAUGGAUGUUUUGCUCAGAAUGUAGCUAUAAAGAUAACACAGUUGAGAGUUGUCAUACUAGUUUAGUUCUACCUGUGUGAGUGAGUGUGAUGAGACAUGUAUUGCUCUCCUGUACCGUCGGUGCUGUCAGUGAACCCGCCAGGUGAGGUGACCCUGAAGCCUUUUGGGGGCCUCUAUUUGGUGGAGGUGCUAUUCUCUCCCAUGUAGCGCAUGGCUCCCUUCACCUCAGAGCUGCAACUUGAGUAUCUGGGCACGGUACCCCCGCUGCUGGUGCUGAAUGGCUGCUGUCAUGACAUGGAGGUCAAGCUGGACCAGGACUACCUGCCCUUUGGAGCUGUUGCUCAGCGCUGCAAGGCCAUAAAACGCAUCAUGUGGAACACUGGAGAAAUUGGAGCCAGACUUCACCCCUGCAGAGGGCUACAUCUGCCCUGGGAUGGAGGUUCCCUUUGAGGUGGCCUUUGCCCCUGUGGAGCUGAGAUAUGAUGACCUGCCCUACACCGUAGAGAGAGCCAUCAAAUUCACCCUGGCAGGCUCCUGAAUCAUGCCCCCCAUCAUUGACCUUGUCCUACCUCACAAAUCAGCGCUGGACUCUGAAGCCUGUGAACGAGGGGGAACACUGGAGGGGCCCUCCUCCUUCAUCAUUGAUCCCUACCAGCAGCACAAGGCUUAUGAGAUCACAUACAAAACCAUGGUCUUGACCCCAGAUGGCAAGAAGCACCUGGACUCUGUGUUCUUCUUCCCAGAUGUGACAGGCAUACUCUACACUCUGCAUGGCACUUCUGAGGCCCUCAAAGUACAUUGAGACAGGGCCUGUCCACAACUGGCACUCCAACCCUCAGCAGUACCACACUACUACUUUAGCAGGAUGCCUAUCAGCUGUUUAACACCUUGUAAUGACACUGCUUCUACCUCUGUCACACUACACUACAUCACCACAACUUUGUCAGCUGCCAGUACUAAAAUGUUCUGUGUGCUGGUUCCUUGCUGUGGUGGAGAUCAUCAAGCACUGUGUUCCUGAAGGGCCUGGACUAUCUGGAUGUACCAGCUCUGGCCAAGAGGGACUACAUGGUCUUCUUCUUCACCUACAAUGAGGGCCAAUGCAAUGCAAACGUCAGUGGAGAGAAUCUGCUCAUGUCGAUGUACAUUAUAAAUGCAUCCUGACCAUCUUCAGGGGAGUACCUGUUCUCCCACCUGAACUACAAGGCCACAGAGAUGGGUAUCAUCAGCACAAUAGAUAUGGUGACUCCGGUGCGCCAGACAGCCUCUGCCUCUGUGAGAAUGGAGAACCUCAUUAGCCUGUACUUCAGUGCUGAGUGCCGCAGUCCAGAUGUCAGUGUCUCCACAAGUAUUGUGCCUGCAUUCUCCAAGUCUAGAUCCAUGUGUUCUUCUCAGAGCCACUAGGGAGAGCACUUGCUCCUCUCUAAAUAGCACUCAUUUGGCAUCAGCACCAGAUACUGUACCUCCUGGGUUCAUUUGUGGGAACAGGAUGGGUGUUCAGAAUGCAUGAAAUAUGUUUCCAAUUAGCAUAAACAGCAGUUCAAUAGUGUGUUAGGUGAAUAGUUGGA
ensembl:lncRNA